rnacentral:rRNA from 1 species
CCUACGGGAGGCAGCAGUGGGGAAUAUUGGGCAAUGGGCGCAAGCCUGACCCAGCAAUGCCGCGUGAAGGAAGAAGGCUUUCGGGUUGUAAACUUCUUUGACAGGGGAAGAGCAGAAGACGGUACCCUGAAAACAAGCCACGGCUAACUACGUGCCAGCAGCCGCGGUAAUACGUAGGUGGCAAGCGUUGUCCGGAUUUACUGGGUGUAAAGGGCGUGUAGCCGGGAAGGCAAGUCAGAUGUGAAAUCUGGAGGCUCAACCUCCAAAUUGCAUUUGAAACUGUUUUUCUUGAGUGAAGUAGAGGUUGGCGGAAUUCCGAGUGUAGCGGUGAAAUGCGUAGAUAUUCGGAGGAACACCGGUGGCGAAGGCGGCCAACUGGGCUUUAACUGACGCUGAGGCUCGAAAGUGUGGGGAGCAAACAGGAUUAGAUACCCUGGUAGUC